CCUACGGGGGGCUGCAGUGGGGAAUAUUGGACAAUGGGCGAAAGCCUGAUCCAGCCAUGCCGCGUGUGUGAAGAAGGCCUUCGGGUUGUAAAGCACUUUCAGUGGGGAAGAAAGCCUUGGGGCUAAUACCCUCGAGGAAGGACAUCACCCACAGAAGAAGCACCGGCUAACUCCGUGCCAGCAGCCGCGGUAAUACGGAGGGUGCGAGCGUUAAUCGGAAUUACUGGGCGUAAAGCGCGCGUAGGCGGUCUGAUAAGCCGGUUGUGAAAGCCCCGGGCUCAACCUGGGAACGGCAUCCGGAACUGUCAGGCUAGAGUGCAGGAGAGGAAGGUAGAAUUCCCGGUGUAGCGGUGAAAUGCGUAGAGAUCGGGAGGAAUACCAGUGGCGAAGGCGGCCUUCUGGACUGACACUGACGCUGAGGUGCGAAAGCGUGGGUAGCAAACAGGAUUAGAUACCCGAGUGUC
rnacentral:rRNA from 1 species